rnacentral:tRNA from 1 species
UCCGUUAUGGUGUAGUGGCUAACAUUAUCGCCUCUCAUUGAUAGGCAAUGAUCACGCGAUAGCCCAGGGUUCGAUUCCCUGUAACGGAA